rnacentral:lncRNA from 1 species
CUGGGACCAGUCCCGUGUGCUGUCCAAUGCGGGCUCUGCUCCCUGGGGAGAAUUCACACCAGGACCAGUCACACAUGAUGUCCAAUGCCAGCUCCACUCCCCAGGGAAUGAGGUUAGUGGAUUGAUGCCUCAGUUUCCUUUUCUGUAGAAUGUCUGCAAUAAUCCAAGCUUCCUCGAGGUGGGUGGUGAGGAUUAAAUAAAUGCAGAGCUGGUACCCACACAGAGGACUCUGGGAGCAUUGAAACGCCGCUGUGUGAUGCACGAUGGAUGCCCGUCGUUACGUGUCUUCACACGAUCGCGUGUCAUUAUGCAUUUGUCAAAACCCACAGGAUGUGCAGCACGGGGGCCCCGACACGAAUGUGGACUUUAGUUACUGAACGCGUGUGAUGGCCCGCCUGUGGUAAGAGGUGCGCCUCGCCAGCAUAACGUGUUAAUUACAGGGGACGCUGGCGGUGGGGGAGGGGCUCUGCACUUUCUGCUCGAUUUCCUGUAACCUAAACCGCUCUAAAAAACAAACACGUGUCAUAACUUUUUUAAUG